rnacentral:rRNA from 1 species
GACGAACGCUGGCGGCGUGCCUAAUACAUGCAAGUUGAGCGCUGAAGGUUGGUACUUGUACCCACUGGAUGAGCAGCGAACGGGUGAGUAACGCGUGGGGAAUCUGCCUUUGAGCGGGGGACAACAUUUGGAAACGAAUGCUAAUACCGCAUAAAAACUUUAAACACAAGUUUUAAGUUUGAAAGAUGCAAUUGCAUCACUCAAAGAUGAUCCCGCGUUGUAUUAGCUAGUUGGUGAGGUAAAGGCUCACCAAGGCGAUGAUACAUAGCCGACCUGAGAGGGUGAUCGGCCACAUUGGGACGGAGACACGGCCCAAACUCCUACGGGAGGCAGCAGUAGGGAAUCUUCGGCAAUGGACGAAAGUCUGACCGAGCAACGCCGCGUGAGUGAAGAAGGUUGUCGGAUCGUAAAACUCUGUUGGUAGAGAAGAACGUUGGUGAGAGUGGAAAGCUCAUCAAGUGACGGUAACUACCCAGAAAGGGACGGCUAACUACGUG